rnacentral:rRNA from 1 species
ACUAAAGCUAGCCCAACCCAAACCAAAUUCAACUAUAAUUAAGUUAAUAAAACAAAACAUUUAUCAAAAUAAAAGUAUAGGAGAUAGAAAUUAUGAACUGGCGCUAUAGAGAAAGUACCGUAAGGGAACGAGUGAAAGAACUUAAUUAAAAGUAAAAAAAAGCAAAGAUUAAACCUUUUACCUUUUGCAUAAUGAAUUAACUAGAACAUCUUAGCAAAGAGAACUUAAGUUAAGAACCCCGAAACCAGACGAGCUACCUUAGAGCAGCAAAAAAGAGCAAACUCAUCUAUGUGGCAAAAUAGUGAGAAGACUUUUAGGUAGAGGUGAAAAGCCUACCGAGCCUGGUGAUAGCUGGUUGUCCAGAAAAGAAUGUAAGUUCAACUUUAAUUUAUACAUAAAAAAAAACAAAUUUUAAUGUAAAAUUAAAUGUUAGUCUAAGGAGGUACAGCCCCUUAGACGCAGGAUACAACCUUGCCUGGCGAGUAAGCAUUUUAAAUAAACCAUAGUUGGCUUAAAAGCAGCCACCAAUUAAGAAAGCGUUCAAGCUCAACAACAAAAAUUUUAUUAAUCCCAAAAAUGGAACUAACUCCCAGAUUUUAACUGGACUAAUCUAUAUAUUUAUAGAAGAAUUACUGUUUAAUAUGAGUAACGAGAAUUUUUUUCUCCCUGCACAAGCCUAUAUCAGAUCGGAUAACCACUGAUAGUUAACAGCCAUAUAACCCAAACCACAAAUUAACCGGCUUAUAAAAUAAACUGUUAAUCCAACACAGGAGUGCUACCAAUCAAGGGAAAGAUUAAAAGAAGUAAAAGGAACUCGGCAAACAUAAACCCCGCCUGUUUACCAAAAACAUCACCUCUGGCAUUUUCAGUAUCAGAGGCACUGCCUGCCCAGUGACGCAAGUUAAACGGCCGCGGUAUCCUGACCGUGCAAAGGUAGCAUAAUCAUUUGUUCUCUAAUUAAGGACUUGUAUGAACGGGCACACGAAGGUUUAACUGUCUCUUACUUCCAAUCAGUGAAAUUGAACUUCCCGUGAAGAGGCGGGAAUGACAUAACAAGACGAGAAGACCCUAUGGAGCUUUAAUUAACUAACCCAAAAAAAAAUAACUCCAUUCCGACAGGAACUAUACUCACAUAAAACUGGGUUAACAAUUUUGGUUGGGGUGACCUCGGAGCAUAAACUAACCUCCGAGUGAUUUCAGCUUAGACCUACAAGUCAAAGCCCACUAGUCACAAUUGAUCCAAUAACUUUUGAUCAACGGAACAAGUUACCCUAGGGAUAACAGCGCAAUCCUAUUUAAGAGUUCAUAUCGACAAUAGGGUUUACGACCUCGAUGUUGGAUCAGGACAUCCCAAUGGUGCAGCCGCUAUUAAUGGUUCGUUUGUUCAACGAUUAAAGUCCUACGUGAUCUGAGUUCAGACCGGAGCAAUCCAGGUCGGUUUCUAUCUAUUUUAUAUUUCUCCCAGUACGAAAGGACAAGAGAAAUGAGGCCUACUCUACCUGAGAGCCUUAAAACCAAUAGAUGACUUCAUCUCAAUCUAGUAAUUUAUAACAACACAGCCCUAGAAAUUGGGCUU